GGGUUGUGAGGUUAAGCGACUAAGCGUACACGGUGGAUGCCCUGGCAGUCAGAGGCGAUGAAGGACGUGCUAAUCUGCGAUAAGCGUCGGUAAGGUGAUAUGAACCGUUAUAACCGGCGAUUUCCGAAUGGGGAAACCCAGUGUGAUUCGUCACACUAUCAUUAACUGAAUCCAUAGGUUAAUGAGGCGAACCGGGGGAACUGAAACAUCUAAGUACCCCGAGGAAAAGAAAUCAACCGAGAUUCCCCCAGUAGCGGCGAGCGAACGGGGAGGAGCCCAGAGCCUGAAUCAGUGUGUGUGUUAGUGGAAGCGUCUGGAAAGGCGCGCGAUACAGGGUGACAGCCCCGUACACAAAAAUGCACAUGCUGUGAGCUCGAUGAGUAGGGCGGGACACGUGGUAUCCUGUCUGAAUAUGGGGGGACCAUCCUCCAAGGCUAAAUACUCCUGACUGACCGAUAGUGAACCAGUACCGUGAGGGAAAGGCGAAAAGAACCCCGGCGAGGGGAGUGAAAAAGAACCUGAAACCGUGUACGUACAAGCAGUGGGAGCCUCUUUAUGGGGUGACUGCGUACCUUUUGUAUAAUGGGUCAGCGACUUAUAUUCUGUAGCAAGGUUAACCGAAUAGGGGAGCCGAAGGGAAACCGAGUCUUAACUGGGCGUUAAGUUGCAGGGUAUAGACCCGAAACCCGGUGAUCUAGCCAUGGGCAGGUUGAAGGUUGGGUAACACUAACUGGAGGACCGAACCGACUAAUGUUGAAAAAUUAGCGGAUGACUUGUGGCUGGGGGUGAAAGGCCAAUCAAACCGGGAGAUAGCUGGUUCUCCCCGAAAGCUAUUUAGGUAGCGCCUCGUGAAUUCAUCUCCGGGGGUAGAGCACUGUUUCGGCAAGGGGGUCAUCCCGACUUACCAACCCGAUGCAAACUGCGAAUACCGGAGAAUGUUAUCACGGGAGACACACGGCGGGUGCUAACGUCCGUCGUGAAGAGGGAAACAACCCAGACCGCCAGCUAAGGUCCCAAAGUCAUGGUUAAGUGGGAAACGAUGUGGGAAGGCCCAGACAGCCAGGAUGUUGGCUUAGAAGCAGCCAUCAUUUAAAGAAAGCGUAAUAGCUCACUGGUCGAGUCGGCCUGCGCGGAAGAUGUAACGGGGCUAAACCAUGCACCGAAGCUGCGGCAGCGACGCUUAUGCGUUGUUGGGUAGGGGAGCGUUCUGUAAGCCUGCGAAGGUGUGCUGUGAGGCAUGCUGGAGGUAUCAGAAGUGCGAAUGCUGACAUAAGUAACGAUAAAGCGGGUGAAAAGCCCGCUCGCCGGAAGACCAAGGGUUCCUGUCCAACGUUAAUCGGGGCAGGGUGAGUCGACCCCUAAGGCGAGGCCGAAAGGCGUAGUCGAUGGGAAACAGGUUAAUAUUCCUGUACUUGGUGUUACUGCGAAGGGGGACGGAGAAGGCUAUGUUGGCCGGGCGACGGUUGUCCCGGUUUAAGCGUGUAGGCUGGUUUUCCAGGCAAAUCCGGAAAAUCAAGGCUGAGGCGUGAUGACGAGGCACUACGGUGCUGAAGCAACAAAUGCCCUGCUUCCAGGAAAAGCCUCUAAGCAUCAGGUAACAUCAAAUCGUACCCCAAACCGACACAGGUGGUCAGGUAGAGAAUACCAAGGCGCUUGAGAGAACUCGGGUGAAGGAACUAGGCAAAAUGGUGCCGUAACUUCGGGAGAAGGCACGCUGAUAUGUAGGUGAAGCGACUUGCUCGUGGAGCUGAAAUCAGUCGAAGAUACCAGCUGGCUGCAACUGUUUAUUAAAAACACAGCACUGUGCAAACACGAAAGUGGACGUAUACGGUGUGACGCCUGCCCGGUGCCGGAAGGUUAAUUGAUGGGGUUAGCGGUAACGCGAAGCUCUUGAUCGAAGCCCCGGUAAACGGCGGCCGUAACUAUAACGGUCCUAAGGUAGCGAAAUUCCUUGUCGGGUAAGUUCCGACCUGCACGAAUGGCGUAAUGAUGGCCAGGCUGUCUCCACCCGAGACUCAGUGAAAUUGAACUCGCUGUGAAGAUGCAGUGUACCCGCGGCAAGACGGAAAGACCCCGUGAACCUUUACUAUAGCUUGACACUGAACAUUGAGCCUUGAUGUGUAGGAUAGGUGGGAGGCUUUGAAGUGUGGACGCCAGUCUGCAUGGAGCCGGCCUUGAAAUACCACCCUUUAAUGUUUGAUGUUCUAACGUUGGCCCCUGAUCGGGGUUGCGGACAGUGUCUGGUGGGUAGUUUGACUGGGGCGGUCUCCUCCUAAAGAGUAACGGAGGAGCACGAAGGUUGGCUAAUCCUGGUCGGACAUCAGGAGGUUAGUGCAAUGGCAUAAGCCAGCUUGACUGCGAGCGUGACGGCGCGAGCAGGUGCGAAAGCAGGUCAUAGUGAUCCGGUGGUUCUGAAUGGAAGGGCCAUCGCUCAACGGAUAAAAGGUACUCCGGGGAUAACAGGCUGAUACCGCCCAAGAGUUCAUAUCGACGGCGGUGUUUGGCACCUCGAUGUCGGCUCAUCACAUCCUGGGGCUGAAGUAGGUCCCAAGGGUAUGGCUGUUCGCCAUUUAAAGUGGUACGCGAGCUGGGUUUAGAACGUCGUGAGACAGUUCGGUCCCUAUCUGCCGUGGGCGCUGGAGAACUGAGGGGGCUGCUCCUAGUACGAGAGGACCGGAGUGGACGCAUCACUGGUGUUCGGGUUGUCAUGCCAAUGGCACUGCCCGGUAGCUAAAUGCGGAAGAGAUAAGUGCUGAAAGCAUCUAAGCACGAAACUUGCCCCGAGAUGAGUUCUCCCUGAGACUUUAAGUCUCCUGAAGGAACGUUGAAGACGACGACGUUGAUAGGCCGGGUGUGUAAGCGCAGCGAUGCGUUGAGCUAACCGGUACUAAUGAACCGUGAGGCUUAACCUUACAACGCCGAAGGUGUUU
rnacentral:rRNA from 1 species